AGAGUUUGAUCCUGGCUCAGAUUGAACGCUGGCGGAAUGCUUUACACAUGCAAGUCGAACGGCAGCACGGGAGCUUGCUCCUGGUGGCGAGUGGCGAACGGGUGAGUAAUGCGUCGGAACGUACCGAGUAAUGGGGGAUAACGCAGCGAAAGUUGUGCUAAUACCGCAUACGCCCUCCGGGGGAAAGCAGGGGAUCGCAAGACCUUGCGUUACUCGAGCGGCCGACGUCUGAUUAGCUAGUUGGUGAGGUAAUGGCUCACCAAGGCGACGAUCAGUAGCGGGUCUGAGAGGAUGAUCCGCCACACUGGAACUGAGACGCGGUCCAGACUCCUUCGGGAGGCAGCAGUGGGGAAUUUUGGACAAUGGGGGCAACCCUGAUCCAGCCAUUCCGCGUGAGUGAAGAAGGCCUUCGGGUUGUAAAGCUCUUUCAGCUGGAACGAAACGGUAGUCUCUAACAUAGGCUGCUAAUGACGGUACCAGCAGAAGAAGCACCGGCUAACUACGUGCCAGCAGCCGCGGUAAUACGUAGGGUGCGAGCGUUAAUCGGAAUUACUGGGCGUAAAGCGUGCGCAGGCGGAUUGUUAAGCAAGACGUGAAAUCCCCGGGCUUAACCUGGGAAUGGCGCUUUGAACUGGCAGUCUAGAGUGUGUCAGAGGGGGGUAGAAUUCCACGUGUAGCAGUGAAAUGCGUAGAGAUGUGGAGGAAUACCGAUGGCGAAGGCAGCCCCCUGGGAUAACACUGACGCUCAUGUACGAAAGCGUGGGUAGCAAACAGGAUUAGAUACCCUGGUAGUCCACGCCCUAAACGAUGUCAACUGGUUGUUGGGGGAGUGAAAUCCCUUAGUAACGAAGCUAACGCGCGAAGUUGACCGCCUGGGGAGUACGGUCGCAAGAUUAAAACUCAAAGGAAUUGACGGG
rnacentral:rRNA from 1 species